CGACCGGCGCACGGGUGAGUAACACGUAUGCAACCUGGCCGUCACAGGUGGAUAAACCGGAAGAAAUUCCGACUAAUACAGCAUAACACUCCUGAGGGACAUCCCUUGGGAGUCAAAGGAGGCAACUCCGGUGACGGAUGGGCAUGCGGCGCAUUAGGUAGUUGGUAGGGUAACGGCCUACCAAGCCGACGAUGCGUAGGGGUUCUGAGAGGAAGGUCCCCCACAUUGGAACUGAGACACGGUCCAAACUCCUACGGGAGGCAGCAG
rnacentral:rRNA from 1 species